UACGUAGGGUCCAAGCGUUGUCCGGAUUUAUUGGGCGUAAAGAGCUCGUAGGCGGUUCCGUAAGUCGGAUGUGAAAACUCGGGGCUCAACCCCGAGACGCCAUCCGAUACUGCGGUGACUUGAGUCUGGUAGGGGAACACGGAAUUCCUGGUGUAGCGGUGAAAUGCGCAGAUAUCAGGAAGAACACCCGUGGCGAAGGCGGCUCUCUGGGACGGUACUGACGCUGAGACGCGAAAGCGUGGGGAGCGAACAGG
rnacentral:rRNA from 1 species